GUCAGCUGAGUUGGUGAGUUCUAGAGAUGUAUGGAAAAGUUGCAGGGAUCAUGAUAAAAUUUGAGUAUGGAUCUCUAUAGAGUUCAGACCAUGUCAGUUUAGUAGAUUAUGAGAUUUUAAAAUAACAUAUGGCUGCAGAAAUUGGGUGUGUGUUGUAGAAGAAAAUGCUCCGGGAGCAUACUUGAUUUGUUUCAAGAAAAGAAUUUGUUGCUGC
rnacentral:misc_RNA from 1 species